rnacentral:hammerhead_ribozyme from 1 species
AUCCAUCUAAUAAGUCCAAAAUAGGACGAAACGCGCAUCCUGGAU